UGCAGUUGAGCGAGGUUCAACUAGUAGCAAUACUGGGGAAGACCUAGCGGCGAACGGGUGAGUAACACGUGAGAAACCUGCCUCGAAGUCUGGGAUAAGCCGGGGAAACCUGGUCUAAUACCGGAUCGCCCCUACGGAUCGCAUGGUCUGUAGAGGAAAGAACUUCGCUUCGAGAGGGUCUCGCGGCCUAUCAGCUAGUUGGUGAGGUAACGGCUCACCAAGGCAUCGACGGGUAGCUGGUCUGAGAGGACGAUCAGCCACACUGGGACUGAGACACGGCCCAGACUCCUACGGGAGGCAGCAGUAGGGAAUUGUUCGCAAUGGGCGCAAGCCUGACGACGCAACGCCGCGUGGAGGAUGAAGACCUUCGGGUCGUAAACUCCUUUCGAUCGAGACGAAUGGCCUUUGGGUUAAUAGCCUGGAGGAAUGACGGUACCCGAGAGAAGAAGCCCCGGUUAACUCCCGUGCCAGCAAGGCCGGGUAAAUACGGGGGGGGGCAAGCGUUGUCGGGAAUUACUGGGCGUAAAGGGGCUCGUAAGGCGGCAAAUUAAAGUCAAGACGUGGAAUCCCCUCGGGUUAACCGGGGGGG
rnacentral:rRNA from 1 species